AUUGAACGCUGGCGGCAUGCUUUACACAUGCAAGUCGAACGGCAGCGCGGGGGCAACCCUGGCGGCGAGUGGCGAACGGGUGAGUAAUGCGUCGGAACGUAUCCUGUAAUGGGGGAUAACGUAGCGAAAGUUACGCUAAUACCGCAUACGCUCGAGAGAGGAAAGUGGGGGAUCGCAAGACCUCACGUUAUAGGAGCGGCCGAUGUCCGAUUAGCCAGUUGGUGGGGUAAAGGCCUACCAAGGCGACGAUCGGUAGCUGGUCUGAGAGGAUGAUCAGCCACACUGGGACUGAGACACGGCCCAGACUCCUACGGGAGGCAGCAGUGGGGAAUUUGGACAAUGGGCGAAAGCCUGAUCCAGCCGUGCCGCGUGCGGGAAGAAGGCC
rnacentral:rRNA from 1 species